ensembl:snRNA U6 U6 spliceosomal RNA
GUGCUUGCUUCUGCAGCACAUAUACUAAAAUUGAAACGAUACAGAGAUUAGCAUGGCCCCUGCGCAGGGAUUACACACAAAUUCAUGAAGCGUUCCACAUUAAA